CCCUGGAUAGCUCAGUCAGUAGAGCAUGAGACUCUUAAUCUCACAGUCUCAGGUUCAAGCCCCACAUUGGGCA